GUAAAAUAAAAUUAAACCCCCAAAGUCCCCAAAUUGCAAGUCCGCACAAAGCUAUCUUCUCUUCCUUUCUCGCCGCGUGCCCCUAUCAACAACUCACCCGAUGCAACGUCGACGACCACUUGCCCGUUUGCUAUAAAGUUCUCCUAAGAGUUGAACGAAGUGUAUUGCACAACUAUUUGUGGGUGGCCGGUGGAGGAAAAUAGCAAAUCGAACAAAAAGGAUGGUGACUAGAGUACUAGCAUAAAGGAGAGGGUAGGACGAGGGCGGGAGAGAGGCCACGGACGAGGUCAAGGGAUAAAUUUGCACAUCAGGGUUGUUUAACUAACAGUAUAUUAUAUAAUAAUACUAUAGAAAGUAGGCCGUACUGUCAUUGGUCCGGCUCAAUUCCAGCCUUCGGAGCCGCGACCUAUCUCAAACUAAUCUUCCCUCGACUCCAUACAUACUACGUAAUGUUGUUCCUACGGCUAAGAAUGAAGAGUUGUCAGGAGUUGAAUCAUCUCAUGUUGGGGAGCACGAACAGAGAACUUCAUCAAAUUCUUUGCGAGAGUACCUGACCUUCACAUAGAGGUUGAUGAGACGAUACUGUAGGGUUGGCGAAUGACCCUAUUAUUGGAGAGCCAAGUGAUGAUGUCACUCCACAAAAUCAAUGAAGAGGACCUAAUCGAGGAUCACAGGUUUCAGAAAAUCCUGAUCAAAGGUUAAAGAUGAAUGUGGUUAAUAAUAGGCAAAAUGGUAUGCUGGACAAUCAGCGGUUUCCAUGGGAACCCCGACACUUCAAAACGUCUGGAAUCUUGGGAUUGCUUGAGGAGAUUAAGCCGUCAAUCUUGCAAACCAUGGCUUUAUCUUGGGGAUUUUAACGAAGUUCUUCGUGCAGCAGAAUUAGAGAGCAGGAACACGAGACUUAUUAAUCAAAUGAUCGAAUUUCUUCAAGUACUAAAAGAUUACAAACCUAAAGGAUCUUGGUUUUGUGGGUGAGCAGUUCACCUGGAGUACUAAGAGAAAGUUCUCAAACACCGUACAAGCGCAUCUUGAUAGGAUGUGCGCCAAUGAAGAUUGGAUUCAGCCUUUUCCAUUGGUUCGGGACCUUGACAUGAUUAGAUCCAAUUACCGCCCACUAUUAUUGGAUAUUGAUGUUGAUUGCCCAAGGCUGAACCGAAAGCAAAAACCCAUCAGAUUCGAAGCUCUUUAGCUGCGGUCAGAAUAGUGUGAGGAGAUAGUUCGAAGGUAUUGGGAUAACAGGCUAGAGGGAAGAAAUGAUCAGUUGCUAAAGAAGCUGGAUUCUUACCAAAUGGGAUAGAUGCAAUGGGGUCAGGCCACCUUCGGCAAGUUAAAGAAAUUAAAAAGCUAAAGGAUAGAGUGGUUAAGCUCCAAAAAGGAACGCGGGUGACUGAGAUACAGUUGGAAAUUCAAAAAUGUAAGGAUGAGGUUGAGAAACUGUUGAACGCAGAGGAGGUUAUGUGGAAACAAAGGGGGAAAAUGCAAUGGAUCAAAGAAGGAGACAAAAGCAGCCGAUUCUUUCACUUGAGAUCUUCCACUCGGAAACAACACCAACUUCAGAAAAUGAAGAAUAACGAGGGUCAAUGGAAAUUUGAAGCUGAGGAUAUGCAAGACAUUAUCCUCUGAGUAUUUUUCAAAUAUCUUCACCUCGGACAGUCCCUCCCCCGAUAUCCUUGAUGAAGUCAUAUGUAUGAUCUACCCUAAGGUGACAGUUGAGAUUAACGACUUUCUUUACACUCUAUUUACUCUGACAGAGGCCAAGAAAGCUAAUUUCCAAAUAUUACACUCAAAUCCCCAGGGCCAGAUGGUAUGCCUACGAUCUUUUUUCAUAAAUUUUGGCAUACAAUCGGUCGUGAUGUCAUGUAUGUUGUACUUCGAAUUCUUAAUUUCCAUAGUCUUGAUGCUAAAAUGAACCAUACAUUCGUUGUUCUUAUACCGAUGUGUGAUAGCCCCAAGAGCAUUACUCAAUUUAGGCCUAUUAGCUUGUGCAACGUCGCCUAUAAAAUUGCAACCAAAGCACUCACGAAUAGGCUUAAACCCCUUAUGAAUAUAUCAUUUUUUAUUCUUAGUCAGAAUUUAUUCUGAGUCACUUGAUUUUGGAUAAUAUUAUUAUUGCAUUCGAGCUUAACCAUUAUUUGCGAAGGGUGUACAGCAUUGAAACUCGACAUGAGCUAGGCGUAUGAUCAAGUGGGAUGGGCAUUUCUGAGCGUAUCCUUUUCUCAAUUAGGUUUUCAUUCAUCUUUUGUUUCCGUCAUCAUGUUGUUUGUGUCUUCUUCUCGUAUUCUUUCAUGCUUAAUUGUGAUAACUUUGGAUUAUUACGAUCAAAGACGGGCAUCCGUCAAGGAGACCUUCUAUCGCCAUAUUUAUUUCUUUUCUGCACAGAGGUAUUUAGCGAUCUUUUCAGAGGACACAGAUGCGGGGUCAACUUCAGAGUAUGGCUAUUCGAAUUCGACCCCUAAGAUUUCCCAUCUACUCUUCACAGAUGAUACACUUAUCUUCUACGAGGCGAAUUUUGAUGUUGUACGAACUAUCAAGUAUCUCCUUGAGAAAUAUGAACAAGCUUCAGGGCAACAAGUUAAUUUGGAGAAAUCCGGAGUGCUUUUCAGCCUGAGCGUGUGGGAGGAAUUUCAGUGAAGGUUAGCCGAUUCUUUGGGAGUUCAGUGGAUGGCAAAUCAUGAAAAAUAUCUUUGGGAGUUUUGUUCUAGCACCUAUUAAAAAUAUUCUUUGGUGAAUCUAAACAGGAUAUGUUUAGGGGCAUUCAUGUACUAAUGUGGAACUGUAUUUGUGGGUCGAACGCAAAAUAUCUCACAAGCGGGCAAGGAGAUUUUGGUGAAAGUAGUACUGCAGGCCAUUCUUUCAUACGUGAUUUCAUGCUUUAAGCUCCCUAAGGUAUUGAUUUGUCAAUUGGAGAAUAUGUUGGUUGGUUUCUAGUGGCAUCAGAAGGGCAACAGACGAGUACAUGGGAUUUCUUGGCCCAAAACGAGUAGGCCAAAAGUAGACGGAGAGGGAACAUGCCAUCGUUUUCAUGGCGGAGCAUCUUCAAUGCUCGCUACUAAAUUGAAGCAAGAUCAAAUUUGUGUGUGGUAAUGGGAUUUCGAUUAAAAAUUUGGGAGGAUAGGUGGGUUCUCCACGCCUCAUAUUUCAAACCCCUUUUUCAGCCUAGCUGUUUGGACGAACAGACUCGUGUAUCAUCUUUGAUCAAUCAUGCUAAUGGGAGAUGGAAUGAGUCGAGAGUUCGUAACAUGUUUCACCCUACCAAUGCUGAGGACGUGCUAGCCUUACCUUUGGGAAGCAGUAGACAUGGCAGUUUAACUUGAAAGACCAAUUUUUGGUGAAAAGUUCACAUCACCUUGCACUUGCUUUGAAAUGAUGGAAUAUUUCCACAAGCUUGAUUCUGGAGGCGAAGAAAUACUGGGGCUUCGUGUGGAACAGAAACACUCCCCUAGAGGUGAAGACCUUUCGUUAGAAAAUGUGCAAGAACGCUCUUCUGAUGAUGACCAAUUUGUCUAAGCAGAACUCGGAUGUUGAUGAGACAUGUCCUAUUUGUAAGUCUGAAGGUGAGGAUUCUCAACACCUCUUCUUCUCUUACCCGGUUGCUCGACAUGUUUGGACCCUCUCAGGCUUACAAUGGCAUAUUCUUUCAAAUUGGAGUCAUGAUGUAUAGACAUGGUUCCAAAGUGCAGCGGAUAAGCUAGAGGGGCCUGAAGCUGAUUGUGCACUCGUUCUCUGUUGGCAGCUUUGGAAUAAUAGAAAUUAGUGAUUUUGGUACAGUGUUAGGGCCUCCCCUAUUGAGAUUAAUUCACAAGCAAGACGAGUCAUGUUCGACUUUGAAGAGUAUAGUCUAUCUUUACAAGGACCGAACAAGGUUAGAGCAACAAAUUAUGCAUGGCAUCCUCCACCUAUCGGGAUUAUCAAGCUAAACUUUGAUAGGGCUACUUUGGUGGAGACUAAUACGGUAGGGUCGAAGUCUUUGCUAGUGAUUAUGUUCGCUCUUGUAUUAGAUGGAGGAAGCGCCACAUUCAUUUCAAAGCUGCACAUGAACACGUUGAGUUUCUUGCAACAGCCACAACAAUUGAAUUUGGGAAGCAGAAAGGAUGGGACCGGAUUAUUUUGGAGGGCGAUUGCUUCUCAAUCAUCUCCAAGUUAACAAGUGAAGACCAAGAUAGUUCAGCUUUGGUGAAUUUAGUGCAUGACAUCAAGGAUAACACCAAGGUUUUUUCUUUAUACAAGUUUACCCAUGUACAAUGUGAGGCCAAUAAAAAAAUUUGAAGCCAUGGAUGACAUUCUAGACGCAGUCUACUAUGGCGAUUUGGUGCCCAUAUACUAAUUUGAUCUUUCAAAUGAAAACGUCUAUGGGAAAAAAAUAGAAACU